rnacentral:antisense_RNA from 1 species
GAUAAUGGUGGUCCGGGCGGGGCAGCCUUCGGGCUGGCCGGUUUCCAAUAAGGCCGGUACUGCAAACCCCGUCCGGGCCAUCACCCAU